rnacentral:tRNA from 1 species
GUUCCAGUGGCGCAAUCGGUAGCGCGCGGUACUUAUAAUGCCGAGGUUGUGAGUUCGAGCCUCACCUGGAACA